rnacentral:snoRNA from 1 species
GUAUAUGUUUGGAUUUAUGGCAAGCCUGUCCCCGUGGGCCAAUCCUAGUAUUCUAUGCCAGAGAAAACUGUGGCCUUGAACCAUUGCUUGGCCUCUAUGCCCAUAGGCUGCUGGCACUGAGGUGGGCUGCACAGUG